GACGAACGCUGGCGGCGUGCUUAACACAUGCAAGUCGAACGAAGAGCGAUGGAAGCUUGCUUCUAUCAAUCUUAGUGGCGAACGGGUGAGUAACGCGUAAUCAACCUGCCCUUCAGAGGGGGACAACAGUUGGAAACGACUGCUAAUACCGCAUACGAUCUAAUCUCGGCAUCGAGGAUAGAUGAAAGGUGGCCUCUACAUGUAAGCUAUCACUGAAGGAGGGGAUUGCGUCUGAUUAGCUAGUUGGAGGGGUAACGGCCCACCAAGGCGAUGAUCAGUAGCCGGUCUGAGAGGACGAACGGCCACAUUGGGACUGAGACACGGCCCAGACUCCUACGGGAGGCAGCAGUGGGGAAUCUUCCGCAAUGGACGAAAGUCUGACGGAGCAACGCCGCGUGAGCGAUGACGGCCUUCGGGUUGUAAAGCUCUGUUAAUCGGGACGAAAGGCCUUCUUGCGAAUAGUGAGAAGGAUUGACGGUACCGGAAUAGAAAGCCACGGCUAACUACGUG
rnacentral:rRNA from 1 species